rnacentral:lncRNA from 1 species
CCCCAAACCGAUAAGCCUUUAAUAAAAAAAAAUUCAAUCCAUUCUCCGUCCGUUAAGCCGUUACCAUUAAGCCAUUAGAGAUGUGUUCUUAUUUUCACCGUCUUAAUACAUAGUCAAUUAUUUACAAAAAAGUAAGUUUGUGGAGAAUAAUUUUCUAUAUACAACUUAACGACUUUAUUAAAAUAAUCCUUUUCAAGAAAUAAGCAAGACUAUUGGGACUUUAAUCAAUGAGAAAUAAAAAGGUUUAGCUUGGCAACAACAUAGAAACAAGCAUAGCUACAUGGGUUCAAAAUUUAAACAUACUUCAUGCAAGCAACUGAGAACCAAACGGAAUUAUAUCCAACAUUCAGGAUGAAGUAAAAAUAAAUUACAAUAGACCAAUGAAGCUACUAAAUUUCCCGAUGUUUUCAUUCGAACUUAAUUUUAGGAGUUUACAUGGAUCAAAAGUUACUUGGACAACAGAAAACACAGCAAGUUCAGCUCUUUUCAAAAUGAAGAAACAGACAAUAAAAUAGUUAAGCGGGCAACAGCACAGCAAAAGUAGCAACAACCAGUAGAUUUCAUAUUUUAAACCCAAGAAUAUGAACCAAAAACACCCAGCAAAGAAGUUGCAACCAACAACUAUGUAACUCCAGAAGAAGCUUUCAAGACCCCUCUAUUUUUCUUAAAAGUUUUGCACUUAAGAUUCAACUCACAAAAGCUAACAAAUUUCAGCUUCAUAAAGUAUUCAGCUGCUGAUUUUUGUUCAAAGAUAUGUGCGUUCAAGCAACUCUAAGGAAGUUAUCUUAGUGUAUCCUUAAAAUAUGAAAGGAGCAACCCUUAAGUAAGCAAAGAAAGUCACUUUUGGAGAGCUUUUGGUUCUGCUCAAGGGACUCACUUUUGUGUGCUAAAAGUCUGAUAAAAAAGGAAAAAGGCAGUCUUUCAACAGCGGCAGCAGAAGCAUGGGAUAAAAGGAAGUAUUUCAGCUACUCUAGCACAAAAAGUAAGUUACUAAUGUACCCUUAAUACAUGAUUAUUCAUCUACUCUUACCAACCAUGUGAUUCAAACCAAACUAAGAUAGAAAGAACGCAUAACUAAACUCAACGACUAACUAAUACUCAACUAAGAGAAAUUCAUAACCUAGUGACCAAAAUUAUCAAAAUAUGCAUUGAUCAGUGAAGACAUUAAUGAAACUCACGACCUUAAACAAAACAAAAACCAGAAACACAUCACAUAAAAUCGAGACUGAAACGACUAAUGCAAAGCAAAAACAUAUCAACAGUGAGGUAAACUAGAAUAAUCAAUUAAGUUAAAACAAAAAACGAAAAUCAGAAACUAGAUUGAGAGCUAAUCAAAACGAUCGCUAGAACCAUUUACACUACAAAGACAUUACGAUAAAAUGCUAAAGAAAUAUAAAAUUAAAAACAUGGAGGAAGCAUUAUGGUUUGAGUUUUACCGAAUUUGAGUGUUUGAACAAUGGUGGCCUAGCGACGAUUAGGCAGCGAGACAAUAGCGGGAUAGUGGUGCGGCUCGAGCAAGCUUUUAUUGUUGAUUUUCAUCGAAACCAUGACCCCGGAGAAUUGGAGGCUAGUUUCGAUAAAAAGCGACAACAAAACCUCGCUUUAGACCAGUGUGAAUAGAAAAAUUGGAGGUUGCGGAGUGAUAGUGAGGCGACGGGUUGGCGGAGAGGCGGCAGCGGAGGUGGCUUUCAGGAGUGGUGAGGUUUUUUUGGGGUGAGAUUAUAGGGGAAGUGUAGAUCUCUUUGAUAUGUACAAGUUUAUGUAGGUUUUAGGGGGGUAAACCAUUGAAACUUCAACUAAAUUUCAAAGAAAAAGAGGCUAGGGUUUCGGAUUAUAGGGUUUCGGAUUUUAUGAGGAUUUGCUGGGAUUUGGUUCAUGGAUUUGAAAAGAUGGGAGUGAGAGGGAGAUCUAGUGAGAUUUUAGGGUGGAUUGGAGUACGCUCGUCCGGCGGUGACGAUUUUCGAUCAGCGGAGAUGGGUGGUGGCGCAGAGAAACGAGAGGGAGUGAAGAGAGAGGAAAAAGAAAAGAAUAAUGGGAAAAAAU